rnacentral:rRNA from 1 species
AACGAACGCUGGCGGCAUGCCUAACACAUGCAAGUCGAACGAUCCCUUCGGGGAUAGUGGCGCACGGGUGCGUAACGCGUGGGAACCUGCCCUUAGGUUCGGAAUAACUCAGAGAAAUUUGAGCCAAUACCGGAUAAUGUCUUCGGACCAAAGAUUUAUCGCCUUUGGAUGGGCCCGCGUUGGAUUAGCUAGUUGGUGGGGUAAAGGCCUACCAAGGCGACGAUCCAUAGCUGGUCUGAGAGGAUGAUCAGCCACACUGGGACUGAGACACGGCCCAGACUCCUACGGGAGGCAGCAGUGGGGAAUAUUGGACAAUGGGCGAAAGCCUGAUCCAGCAAUGCCGCGUGAGUGAUGAAGGCCUUAGGGUUGUAAAGCUCUUUUACCCGGGAUGAUAAUGACAGUACCGGGAGAAUAAGCCCCGGCUAACUCCGUG